AUUGAACGCUGGCGGAAUGCUUUACACAUGCAAGUCGAACGGCAGCACGAGGGCAACCUUGGUGGCGAGUGGCGAACGGGUGAGUAAUACAUCGGAACGUGCCCAGUCGUGGGGGAUAACGUAGCGAAAGCUACGCUAAUACCGCAUACGAUCUAUGGAUGAAAGCGGGGGACCGUAAGGCCUCGCGCGAUUGGAGCGGCCGAUGGCAGAUUAGGAGUUGGUGGGGUAAAGGCUCACCAAGCCUGCGAUCUGUAGCUGGUCUGAGAGGACGACCAGCCACACUGGAACUGAGACACGGUCCAGACUCCUACGGGAGGCAGCAGUGGGGAAUUUUGGACAAUGGGCGCAAGCCUGAUCCAGCCAUGCCGCGUGAGUGAAGAAGGCCUCGG
rnacentral:rRNA from 1 species